rnacentral:rRNA from 1 species
UACGAAGGGGGCUAGCGUUGCUCGGAAUUACUGGGCGUAAAGGGCGCGUAGGCGGAUGGCACAGUCAGAUGUGAAAUUCCCGGGCUUAACCUGGGGGCUGCAUUUGAUACGUGUUGUCUAGAGUGAGGAAGAGGGUUGUAGAAUUCCCAGUGUAGAGGUGAAAUUCGUAGAUAUCGGGAGGAACACCAGUGGCGAAGGCGGCUCUCUGGGCAGAUACUGACGCUGAGACGCGAAAGCAUGGGGAGCAAACAGG